rnacentral:misc_RNA from 1 species
AACAUCAGCGGGGCUCUGCUCGACAGCUCGAUCGUCGGACGCAGGGCCAGCAUUAGCGGACUGGCUCGCGGACUGAAUGUCGGCGACGAUGCGGUCGUCGAGGCAUGAGUCCAGAAGCGACUGUUAGUCGCUGGCUCGAACUCGCCGUGACCUGCGACAGUGAAGCGGUCGAGCCAGUCUCCGAGCUGUUUGCCUUACACGGAUUCAACCAAGGCGUCGUCGUCGAGGAGUCAUUCACCCAAGACCCAGACGGUGACAAUUUCGCUGUCGACCCGACCCGGCCGGUCGUCGUCCGAACCUUCCUCAACGCGGCCGACGUCGCGCCAGAGACGAUCGGGGAGAUUCGGCGUUCGCUCUGGCACCUGAGCCGGCUCCGCUCGAUCAGCGAACUGCACGUCAC